AUCCAGCCGGUGACGAGUCCCAAAUAGGACGAAAUGCGCAUCCUGGAU
rnacentral:hammerhead_ribozyme from 1 species